UACGUAGGGUGCAAGCGUUAAUCGGAAUUACUGGGCGUAAAGCGUGCGCAGGCGGUUAUGCAAGUCAGAUGUGAAAUCCCCGGGCUCAACCUGGGAACUGCAUUUGUGACUGCAUGGCUAGAGUACGGUAGAGGAGGGUGGAAUUCCGCGUGUAGCAGUGAAAUGCGUAGAUAUGCGGAGGAACACCGAUGGCGAAGGCAAUCCCCUGGACCUGUACUGACGCUCAUGCACGAAAGCGUGGGGAGCAAACAGG
rnacentral:rRNA from 1 species